UACGUAGGGUGCGAGCGUUGUCCGGAAUUAUUGGGCGAAAGAGCUCGUAGGCGGUGUGUCACGUCGGCCGUGAAAACCUGCAGCUUAACUGUGGGCGUGCGGUCGAUACGGGCAUCACUGGAGUUCGGCAGGGGAGACUGGAAUUCCUGGUGUAGCGGUGAAAUGCGCAGAUAUCAGGAGGAACACCAAUGGCGAAGGCAGCUCGCUGGGACGGUACUGACGCUGGAGGCGCGAAAGCGUGGGGAGCAAACAGG
rnacentral:rRNA from 1 species